UUGAACACGCACACACACAGCAGGAAUGCGUCUACACGUAUUUCCAUUUCCGUCUCUAUCCCGUCAUGCCUUCCUCAUGUCAGCGUACACAGUAACAAUGUUCGUCUUGUUCUGGGCGGCCCUCCAGCUCUGCAUAGCUUCCAAUGGGUGCCCCCUCCCCUCCUGCUAGAAAAGUGUAGGUGGCACUGGGAGAAGGUGCCCAAGGACACAACAACAGUGACUAGAAUGGCGGAAGCGGGUAUCGAACCUGCAACCCUGAUGUUGCUGCCACGGCCCCUCUACCAAGCGAGCUGUACCGCCUGGUAAGAUUUGUACAAUAACUGUUUUGUUGACGACUUCACUUCCCAUGCAUAUUAUUUUUGUUUUGUGUACUAAUUGGCAAAGAGCUGGUUGUUCAAUGUCUAAAUACGUACUCCAGCUAUACUAACACUUUUAUUUGUAGAUAUCGUUUGGCUUUUUAGAUAUUUCUUCUUUCGUGUACUGCUUGGAGGUAAACUGCAGAAAACGCAAGGACACAACUAGUUUGCUGUCUAAAGAAGACCACCAUGACAUGAGAUGCAGAGAGUAAACCAUGCCAAUGCUAGAUUUUCCCCACAUUGUUUCAUCAUUAUUUCAUAUUGUUUGUGUCUUGUCUAAGUCGUGCACAAUUCAACCAAUAGAGGCUUCAAUUAUGCUGCUUAAAGAAGUGGAGAUAGGCGAACGCUGGAUUUUUGGAGAAGAAGAGGCCUCCCUGUCUUGCCUUUUCCCUCAAAGACAUGGAAGUCAUAUCCUGCCCAUACCCUUUCCUCUCGCCGCUAACCCAAACAAGGCGGGAAUGCCGAGAAAGACGAGGAACACUGAGGGCGCUCUGUUCAGGACUUGAGCUGGAACCAAUAGGAGGCGAGGAGAAGGAAAAAGGGGGCGGGGCUGGUUGCACUAUGGAGCCACAGCUGCAGCUGCAAUGACUUCCUAUUGUUUCCACUCACUGAAAGCCACUUUCUCCUUUUUUUUUUGCUGCCGGGCCCGAGCCAGCUGGUCGUCUGGCGUGGGGUCAUUGUUUGAACCCGGAGCACUGACAGACGCGACUAAAUGAGCCCUCCACCCACCGCCCACCUCUACUCAUCCCCAUCAUUGUGUAGCUUAGUUACACCAAGCAGUUUUGCUAUUUUGUAGAAUUUUUUCGCAUCCCCAUGGUUAAAAUUGUUAAAAGCAUCGAUAUAACUUGUUAUACCUGUGCGAUUUAAGCGCGAAGAGAUGAUGGAAACAGUAAAUUACUACAACUACUACUUUCUUCUUUAAAAAUGAUGACUUUUGCCUCAUAAAAUAGCAUUUUUUUCUUGUAAAAUUAUAACUUAAAUUACUAUUUUUUCCAAUAAAAUGUUUACCUAUUCUUCAAUGGAUGCCUGAUGAGAUGUCAUAUAA